GGAGAGGUGUCCGAGUGGCCGAAGGAGCACGCUUGGAAAGCGUGUGUGUCGCAAGGCACCGUGGGUUCGAAUCCCACCCUCUCCGCCA
rnacentral:tRNA from 2 species